rnacentral:ncRNA from 1 species
AAAAUACAUAGUUUAAUCGGUCCCGAAUAGAAAGCUAUUUGGGUUAAAAGGGAAAUCGGUAAAAGCCGAUGCGGUCCCGCCACUGUAAGUGUGAGCAAUUCGAGAAUGCCACUGAAGGAAACUUUGGGAAGGUGCGAUGCGCGAUGAUCACGAGCCAGGAUACCUGCCGAUUAUAGAACACCGUU